UUCUGGUCUGGUGGUAGUAAGUUAUCAGAACUUAUUAACAUUAAUGUCAUUAAAGUUGGUAUAUAAACCCCCAUUGCUAAAUUUGACUGAUUUA
rnacentral:Y_RNA from 1 species